ACCUGGAGGCGACCUGCAGAUCUGGAAUCGAGUGGCCCCCGCUUCCAGUUUCUGAUUUCUCAUCUUCGGCGGAUUUUUGCUGCUCGGCUAAACUCGGAUCCAACACGCCACUAUGGUCAGGUGCCUCUAUGAUGUCAUCAGGGAGGACCAUCUUCACCUGUGGCUACAGGAGCGUCUUGAUUCAGGACGGGAGGCCCCGCCUCUCCGUCCCACCCUCUAGCGAUGACCAGCAGUUUGGCCAUCUUCAUGAGCGUUUUCUUCUUGAACCGUCGGCCCGGUCUGUGCUUCUGCUGCUGCAGCAACUCAUUCAGAACCAACUGAAGGGCCUUCUGCUCCUUCUUCUCUGAGUUCCUGGUGUCGUCCUCAUUGGACGCUCUCUCUGUGGGGGUCUGCUCCUGAGGAGGGUGGGGGGCUUCCCCCUCUGGCUGUGUGAGGUUUGGAUCCAUGCCAGGUUCAUAGUGAUGAUCCAGAACUUCAGGAGCUUCUUCAGGACCAUCAGAGUCUCCCUGCAUACUGCCAGCAGCUUUAUCUCCAACAGAAGUCAUGCCUUCAAGGGCGGUGGGGGCUUCUCCGCUCGGACAUGAAGCAGCAGAGGUCUGCAGCUCGCCGCCAGUCUGCAAACGGAAACAAAAGGGUUAAAAAUGCUGGUAAACAAAAGAACGUGUUUGUCUUUUAUUCUAACUUCUGAGUUUAAUGUCACACAGAGAGGUCCCCCAGUCAACGAGAGCACUAACCACUGCGCCACUGUGCAGCCCGCCUCUAAAGAACUAAAAAGUCAACAGACAUGAAGUUUGGAAUCCUGGAAAAAAUAAAAACAAGCAUCAGAAACAAA